CAACCUCAGAAGAAGCCUAUACUGGGGUUCCGCAGGAGCUUUGGUACGAGACUGAAGAUACCAAGCAGAUCUGUUGAUAGAAUUGACAGUGCUAAGCGUUUAAUUUUCUUGCUGCCAGAGGUUCAUUGGCUUUGGAAAACAUGAAGAUUUGGCAAACUGAUGUUGUUGUUGAAGAAGUAACGAAGUGAAGUGUUGAAAGUCUGUAGGGAACACCUAGUGGGUUCGGGUAUCGUCCAAGCACCUCCUGAAGAACGGAAAUUGAUUGUACUAGUAUUGUCGCUUUGAAGAACUACCCUCGCUUGUUGACAGUCUUCCUGGCAUCAACCUAUGUAUGUAGAAAAUAAUCAAUUUCGUCAACUUUCUACAAUGCACAAUGGCAUAGUCUCAAGUCUCAAUGCCGUCUAUUUAUAUGCAAGAAAGCAAGGAAAACUCUUUGGAAGAGUUCACUGGAG